AGUGAACGCUGGCGGUAGGCCUAACACAUGCAAGUCGAACGGCAGCACAGUAAGAGCUUGCUCUUACGGGUGGCGAGUGGCGGACGGGUGAGGAAUACAUCGGAAUCUACUUUUUCGUGGGGGAUAACGUAGGGAAACUUACGCUAAUACCGCAUACGACCUACGGGUGAAAGCAGGGGAUCUUCGGACCUUGCGCGAUUGAAUGAGCCGAUGUCGGAUCAGCUAGUUGGCGGGGUAAAGGCCCACCAAGGCGACGAUCCGUAGCUGGUCUGAGAGGAUGAUCAGCCACACUGGGACUGAGACACGGUCCAGACUCCUACGGGAGGCAGCAGUGGGGAAUAUUGGACAAUGGGCGCAAGCCUGAUCCAGCCAUACCGCGUGGGUGAAGAAGGCCUUCGGGUUGUAAAGCCCUUUUGUUGGGAAAGAAAAGCAGCAGGUUAAUACCCCGCUGUUCUGACGGUACCCAAAGAAUAAGCACCGGCUAACUUCGUG
rnacentral:rRNA from 1 species